CUACUGGGGUAUCUAAUCCUGUUUGCUCCCCACGCUUUCGCACCUCAGCGUCAGAAAUGUGCCAGACAGUCGCCUUCGCCACUGGUGUUCUUCCGAAUAUCUACGAAUUUCACCUCUACACUCGGAAUUCCACUAUCCUCUCACAUCCUCUAGCUUGCCAGUUUUGGAGGCAGUUCCGAGGUUGAGCCCCGGGAUUUCACCCCCAACUUGGCAUGCCGCCUACGCGCGCUUUACGCCCAGUAAUUCCGAACAACGCUAGCCCCUUUCGUAUUACCGCGGCUGCUGGCAC
rnacentral:rRNA from 1 species